rnacentral:rRNA from 1 species
AUUGAACGCUAGCGGGAUGCCUUACACAUGCAAGUCGAACGGAGUGGCGAACGGGUGAGUAAUGUAUCGGAACGUGCCCAGUAGCGGGGGAUAACUACGCGAAAGCGUAACUAAUACCGCAUACUCUUGGCGCGGCAGAUACCGGGUUUGAUAGUUGGUGGGGGAACGGCUCCCCAAGGCGACGAUCCGUAGCUGGUUUGAGAGGACGACCAGCCACACUGGGACUGAGACACGGCCCAGACUCCUACGGGAGGCAGCAGUGGGGAAUUUUGGACAAUGGGGGAAACCCUGAUCCAGCCAUCCCGCGUGUACGAUGAAGGCCUUCGGGUUGUAAAGCACUUUAGGCGGGGAGGCGGUACCUGCAGAAUAAGCACCGGCUAACUACGUGCCAGCAGCCGCGGUAAUAC